rnacentral:rRNA from 1 species
GGGCCUAUCUAGGUCUGGCAAUUGGAAUGAGAACAAUUUAAAUCCCUUAUCGAGGAACAAUUGGAGGGCAAGUCUGGUGCCAGCAGCCGCGGUAAUUCCAGCUCCAAUAGCGUAUAUUAAAGUUGUUGCAGUUAAAAAGCUCGUAGUUGAAUUUCUGGUGGGAGUGUACAGUCCGACACUGAGUGUUGGUUCUUGUAUGUCUCCGGCCAUCCUUGGAGUGAAUCUGUCUGGCAUUCAGUUGUUGGGCAGAGUAUCUCCAUCGUUUACUGUGAGGAAAUGAAAGUGUUCAAAGCAGGCUUACGCCGUUGAAUCUUUUAGCAUGGAAUAAUAAGAUAGGACGUAGGUACUAUUUUGUUGGUUUGCGCACCCACGUAAUGAUUAAUAGAGACAGGCGGGGCUAUUCGUAUUGCAUUGUCAGAGGUGAAAUUCUUGGAUUUCUGCAAGACGAACUACUGCGAAAGCAUUUAGCAAGGAUGUUUUCAUUAAUCAAGAACGAAAGUUAGGGGAUCG